CGGACCCCCAACGGCCGCCACAGAGCGCCGCGCUCCCCUCAACGCAGGGCGGGCGGACUCACCGAGGCGCAGGGGCUGGAGGUGGCGCUGGGGGUUUGGCUGAGUGCAGGGGCUGCUGUUUCAUUCCUCAUUUUGAGAAAUAGGGACUUUUGACAGCGCUGGACUUAACAGACCUUGAAUGUGAAGGUAAACCUGUCACCGGGCACCUGUGGA